GAAACGCGUUGAAUAGUCGAAGCAACACACACGAACGUUCUGUCCCGGAGGAAAACCGCCAUGGAAAAUUCACCGUCUAGCAACCGCUAUCGAGGCCAGAUGAUUCAUGAUAUCGUGUGAUGGGCACAGACCAAGAGGUAGGCUGCUGGGAUUUGAUACUUU